UGACUUUUUCUUUCAUUUUUCUAUUCAUUUUCUUUUGUUUUCUUUGAAACAUUGGGGACAAUGUUUCAUUUAAGUGUGGGGGGGAAAACCUUGUUCUUUCAACCUUCCCUUUUCAAGUAUGUUAUUUUCCCUUUCAUUGUUAUUUCCCUUUCUUAUUAUAAAAAAAAAAUUUAUUAUAAUAUAUAUUUAUUUUAAGUCAAGUCCCUAGUGUG
rnacentral:lncRNA from 1 species